UACGGGGGGGGCAAGCGUUGUUCGGAAUUACUGGGCGUAAAGGGCGCGUAGGCGGCCUGUUAAGUCGAACGUGAAAUCCCCGGGCUCAACCCGGGAACUGCGUCCGAUACUGGUUGGCUUGAAUCCGGGAGAGGGACGUGGAAUUCCAGGUGUAGCGGUGAAAUGCGUAGAUAUCUGGAGGAACACCGGUGGCGAAGGCGGCAUCCUGGACCACGACUGACGCUGAGGAGCGAAAGCCAGGGGAGCAAACGGG
rnacentral:rRNA from 1 species